rnacentral:rRNA from 1 species
GAUGAACGCUGGCGGCGUGCCUAAUACAUGCAAGUCGAGCGAACAGACGAGGAGCUUGCUCCUUUGACGUUAGCGGCGGACGGGUGAGUAACACGUAGGUAACCUACCUAUAAGACUGGGAUAACUUCGGGAAACCGGAGCUAAUACCGGAUAAUAUUUCGAACCGCAUGGUUCGAUAGUGAAAGAUGGCUUUGCUAUCACUUAUAGAUGGACCUGCGCCGUAUUAGCUAGUUGGUAAGGUAACGGCUUACCAAGGCAACGAUACGUAGCCGACCUGAGAGGGUGAUCGGCCACACUGGAACUGAGACACGGUCCAGACUCCUACGGGAGGCAGCAGUAGGGAAUCUUCCGCAAUGGGCGAAAUCCUGACGGAGCAACGCCGCGUGAGUGAUGAAGGCCUUCGGAUCGUAAAACUCUGUUAUUAGGGAAGAACAAACGUGUAAGUAACUGUGCACGUCUUGACGGUACCUAAUCAGAAAGCCACGGCUAACUACGUG